CUCUUGAUAAUCAUUCCAAGCCUUCAUGUUUCCACAAUGACAGGUUGGAGCUGGUUGGUAAGUUUUGAGCUCGUCCCAAAUAGUUUUCAUCCACGUAUAAUAGGCGUUGAUGCUGAGUGAUCCUUGAAUAAGGCCAUUCAUGUUCUACUUCAGCUGGUAGAUGCGUGGAGCAUUGCUUUGUUGAUAACGGAGCCUCAAAUAUGUCCAGAUGGAUUGUGCAUUCUCAUGGUAUAAUAAAUUAUCAGCUAUUUCCUUUGUUACAGCAUUCAACAACCAAG
rnacentral:lncRNA from 1 species